AAUUCUGCCAUGUGGGGAAGGAUGAAGCUUCGACUAAGGUUCGAUUCGACGCAGCGAGAAAGCGUUACCGCAGGCAACGACCCGAAGAACGGCGCGCAACUGAGUAAUCCUUCCCCACCACCA
rnacentral:sRNA from 1 species